CCUACGGGAGGCUGCAGUGGGGAAUAUUGGACAAUGGGCGAAAGCCUGAUCCAGCCAUGCCGCGUGUGUGAAGAAGGCCUUCGGGUUGUAAAGCACUUUCAGUGGGGAAGAAAGCCUUGGGGCUAAUACCCUCGAGGAAGGACAUUACCCACAGAAGAAGCACCGGCUAACUCCGUGCCAGCAGCCGCGGUAAUACGGAGGGUGCGAGCGUUAAUCGGAAUUACUGGGCGUAAAGCGCGCGUAGGCGGUCUGAUAAGCCGGUUGUGAAAGCCCCGGGCUCAACCUGGGAACGGCAUCCGGAACUGUCAGGCUAGAGUGCAGGAGAGGAAGGUAGAAUUCCCGGUGUAGCGGUGAAAUGCGUAGAGAUCGGGAGGAAUACCAGUGGCGAAGGCGGCCUUCUGGACUGACACUGACGCUGAGGUGCGAAAGCGUGGGUAGCAAACAGGAUUAGAUACCCCAGUAGUC
rnacentral:rRNA from 1 species